CAUUUUUCUUGUGGUUUUUCUUAGAUAGGUUUAGCAUAAGAUUUAAAAUCUUUGUUUUGAAAUAAACUUGAAUUUGAACCUUGUUUAUUAACAGUCACAUGAGGCGUGUGUGAGUCUGCAGGAUUUUUAAGUACAUGGUUAUUAAAAAAAUAUCCAUAAGGUUUUAAUUUGCUGCUACUAACAAGUUAAAAAAAGACAGAUAUUUCUACUUUGCAUCAAUAAAGCAUGUUUUAUUGAAACAGGACAUUUUUUUAACGAUGUUAUUUCUCAACAUAUAAGUCAAAUGAAAAAAAAAAUUGGAAUAUGGUACAGAUUCAUAUGAAAACAACUCAUUCACCAACAGGUUCAAAUCAAACAGCCACUCGUCACACACGUCCAACCACGACCUGGUUACUAAGGUGAUCAUGUCCGUCCUUUCUCCAGUUUUUUUAUUUUUAAAUAAACUACUUCAGUUUUGGCCCACUGCUUUUACAUUACAAGCCCUUCCUGCACAAUGUUUUAAAUUGAGCAAAACAUAACAACAGUUCUACACAAUUGACAAAUGAUGGAAAAUGAUGAUUUAAUGUUCAUAUAAAUGUGUAUCACAUCUGCUAACAUGUCAGGUUGCUGUUUUUAUUUUAUUUUUUUUUUCAAACUUGUCCUUUUGUACAGUCAGUAACACUCUAGUCUGACUUCCUGGUGUACUUCAGUAUUUGAAGACUUUAUUGUUUUAUGUAGAAAUAAAAUACCUGGACAAUACUUUGUAAAAGUACUAAAAGUGAAUACAUUUAAAAUGUCUGCCUAUUUUAGCUGUUUAUUUUCAAAUAUUUAAAGGGAACGUAAAUGAAAAAAAACCCCAGAUCAUUCUAUAGCCUCGUUCGUGCUUGAUGCUAACUACCUCUUUAGCCUCGUUCGUGUUCGAUGCUAACUUUAUUUAUUUAUUUUUUAUUUAUUGUGUAGGAUCCUAACUACUUCUUUAGCCUCGUUCGUGUUCGAUGCUAACUCUAUUUAUUUAUUUUAUUUAUUGUGUAGGAUGCUAACUACUACUUUAGCCUCGUUCAUGAUCGAUGCUAAUCACACGGCUAACGGAUACGUAUUGUGUGAAAUGGAGCGGCACGACUUGAACUCGUGGGGGCAGUGUUGUGCAGUUUCGUUGAUGUACGCCCAAAAAAUGACUAUCACGAAGAAGAAAAGAAACGGAAAAAUGGUUUGGACCUAAGAGAUUUCUCCGUCCACCUGCUGCUCUGGGGUUUUUGUCCACACGGGCGUUCGGACGUCUUUCUGAGCAGGAACGUUUCCACCACCGCCACCAUGUUCGUUAUCGUUCGAGAAAACUCAUGUUUGGCCGAAUAUGAACACCGAACACUGCACUGCCCUCUAACGGAUGUUUGGCUAACUAACCAUGCUAACACUCACUUGGUGACAGUGGCGUUCGAAGCAACUAUUUAGUAAGUUACUAUAGACGAAAAGAAGAAGAAACGAGGCUUCAGUGACACUUAACUUUUUCCCGGAUACGUGACUUCAUAACGACAACGGCAUCACUACUUCUGGAAGCCACCAGAGGUCAAACCACCAUGGGUUCCCUUUUAUGUGAACAAGUUUUCUCAAAUGAACUCCACCUCUCCACUCAUGUCUGUGGACGUCUGUCUCAGCGUUAGCCGGUGGACGGUGCCCAUCUUCUCCAGCCGGACCCUGGAGCUGGCCUGCAGGAGUUCACCUUUCAGAGUCCACACCGGAGCUUUGACCACAGGGGCGGACAGCUCACAUUCAAAGGUGGCGUCAUCGGGGGCCAAGACCUCCACGUCUGUCAGCUCUCUGACCAUCAGCACGGACUGUAAGGCUGGAACAGAAAGACAAACAUCCGCAGAAGUCUGAGGAAGAGCCAUCCAUCUGAUGAAGAGCAGCCUGGAGUUCAGCCAAUAAAAAACUGUGGCCUGGAGCCAACGUCUGCCCCUGGUGGUCAACUAAGAGGUAACAGUUGAUCCUACUACAACAUGGGAGACGGACCUUUUUAUG